AGUGAAAUGAGAGGAAGCAUUAACCACCCUUACAGUUUCCCCUAUGUGCUGGGCUCCUCCGUCUCUGCGUGCCACUGUACGAUUGCAGUUAGUGGCCGCGUCGCCGGGCUGCCAGGGCCCCCAUGCCGUAAUGUAUUGUGCUGCAAACAAGAAGGAUGACCGGAUCCCUGCCUCCGGGUGCCGGGGGAGCCUGCGGUGAUGCCGCCGCGCAGGUAUAUGGAUGGCCUGGGGAGGUCUCCAUCAUUCAUAAAACAUGCCGUCGCGCCAGGGCCGAAUUGAUCUUGCAAAAGAAGCAGGGUGGCACGGCGACCACUUCAUUAGUCUUCGCGCACCAACAAAUCACUGCGGCGCUAGCCUCCGAGGGACCUGCCGCCGCCACACAGCCCACCGCAGUCACCUUAGCCCCAUGCCCCCGGGGAAGGGAAAGAAAAGAGAAGGAGGGGAAGAAAGAGGGGAAAGGGGAAGAUAGGGGAGGGAGAGGGAGGCCCCGGGUCCAGCAGUGGUCUCCAAACACAACAGCGACAUUAGCGAAAGUGUGUUAUGGGGACACUGAGCAGGAGACUACAGAGGGAGGAAGGAGGGGGGGGGCAAGUUCAGGUGGUCUGGGUGGGACUGAGGGAGAGUAAUGUUGACACGGCAACAGCAGAGAGGAGAAAAUAAAGAAAAAAGCUUGUGAAAUGCACACAAAUCUCAACCAUGGUAAUUGAUAGCCAGUGGUCAUUCCGAGCAUAUGGGACUGAAAUCAAGUGCUCUCGCCAUAAAACAAUGUCAAAUAUUGAUGAUAUUUCUGUUCCCGGGCUGCUGAAUGAAUUGCUCCGUUCACUGACUAUUUUUGAUGAAUGAUUUUUAUUGCCGUUUUUGUUGUUGUUGCCGUGGCUUCAGAAGUCUGAGGCCUUGCUACUUCUGCAAAUGUAUCCAGGUAACCAAGGAGCCCCACAGACCUGGAGCCUUGAGUUCAGGGCUACAAAUCAUCUCUGUUUACUGAUGCACACGCUUGGAAAUGGCCUGUGAUAAUCACAUUUUCCAGGAAGAUUAGAAUAUUAUUUUUGCAUUGUUUGCUUUUUUAUCUUACAUGUGUACAAACAAAUAACAUUUUAUACAUAUUUCAGGAAGUAUUCCUGACAUUUUUGUACAACUAAAACAAUAAUAAAAUUUAAAAUGAAAUGCCAA